AGGUGAUAUGAACCGUUAUAACCGGCGAUUUCCGAAUGGGGAAACCCAGUGUGUUUCGACACACUAUCAUUAACUGAAUCCAUAGGUUAAUGAGGCGAACCGGGGGAACUGAAACAUCUAAGUACCCCGAGGAAAAGAAAUCAACCGAGAUUCCCCCAGUAGCGGCGAGCGAACGGGGAGCAGCCCAGAGCCUGAAUCAGUGUGUGUGUUAGUGGAAGCGUCUGGAAAGGCGCGCGAUACAGGGUGACAGCCCCGUACACAAAAAUGCACAUGCUGUGAGCUCGAUGAGUAGGGCGGGACACGUGGUAUCCUGUCUGAAUAUGGGGGGACCAUCCUCCAAGGCUAAAUACUCCUGACUGACCGAUAGUGAACCAGUACCGUGAGGGAAAGGCGAAAAGAACCCCGGCGAGGGGAGUGAAAAAGAACCUGAAACCGUGUACGUACAAGCAGUGGGAGCACGCUUAGGCGUGUGACUGCGUACCUUUUGUAUAAUGGGUCAGCGACUUAUAUUCUGUAGCAAGGUUAACCGAAUAGGGGAGCCGAAGGGAAACCGAGUCUUAACUGGGCGUUAAGUUGCAGGG
rnacentral:rRNA from 1 species